rnacentral:rRNA from 1 species
AGCGAACGCUGGCGGCAGGCCUAACACAUGCAAGUCGAACGAACUCUUCGGAGUUAGUGGCGGACGGGUGAGUAACACGUGGGAACGUGCCCUUUGGUACGGAAUAACUCAGGGAAACUUGAGCUAAUACCGUAUGUGCCCUUCGGGGGAAAGAUUUAUCGCCAUUGGAGCGGCCCGCGUCUGAUUAGCUAGUUGGUGAGGUAAAGGCUCACCAAGGCGACGAUCAGUAGCUGGUCUGAGAGGAUGAUCAGCCACAUUGGGACUGAGACACGGCCCAAACUCCUACGGGAGGCAGCAGUGGGGAAUCUUGCGCAAUGGGCGAAAGCCUGACGCAGCCAUGCCGCGUGAAUGAUGAAGGUCUUAGGAUUGUAAAAUUCUUUCACCGGGGACGAUAAUGACGGUACCCGGAGAAGAAGCCCCGGCUAACUACGUG